GUGCUCACUUCGACAGCACAUAUACUAAAAUUGAAACAACACAGAGAAGAUUAACAUGGCCCCUGCACAAGAAUGACAUGCAAAUUCAUGAAGUGUUCCAUAUUUAA
rnacentral:snRNA from 1 species